GCUGUGGCCCAGUGGCAGUGCACUUGCCUAGCACACUCAGACCCUGGGUUCAAUCCCCAGCACUGCA
rnacentral:tRNA from 1 species